rnacentral:rRNA from 1 species
GUCAGUGGCGAUAUAGCACGUUGAACACACCAGUUCCCAAUGAAUAAAUGAAGUUAAGCAACGUUACGCGUGGUUGGUAUACAGAUGGGUGACCAAAUGACCAUCUGGCCAAUCGUGUGCUACUGGAU